rnacentral:lncRNA from 7 species
AAUGCUUCCCCCUACCCCUUUUAAAAGGGUAACCUUGAGAGCUGCCCCAAACGCAGAACGCUUGACAUGUAACCCUUGAGCGCAAGCCAAGCUGGGAAGCCUUCCCCCUAAAGCGUAGCCCAAAAGGGGAACUCUCAGCUCUUAGCAAUCCACUCACCGGUCAUACUUCACCAGAACCCCGAACGGGAUGAGGCUGAGCUUGUCUGCUGCCGGGCUGCUCUGAGGCCCAGGGCAUGGCGAGCGGCUGCUUGGAGCACUACUCACAGCUGAGGUGCCUGGACCCAGCUGUCCUUGGGGAGGGCCUUUGUCGUCACGGAAACGCACUGUGACAGCAUAAAGGCUGCAGGGGCGCAGCUGAUGUCAUUCCAAGCUUCCGCGAGUCGAAGCCUCCAGGCUGUUGUUUCAUCAGCUUUUGUGCUGUUUAUCGUCUCUUUUGCCAUUGGUUCCUUUCCUUUGUUUCCUUGAUCCUUACUUGGUUUUCUUUGAUUUUUUUUUUUUUUCAGCUUUCCUUAUGCUGCACGUGGAACAGCAGCAUACCCCAAUCCCGCUGCCAUUCAGGGUGAUGAUGGAGGGUGAAGAACAUGUCAGCGUAGGUGGCUUCCUCCCCUUUUCCCUCCCUCUACAAAAACAACCUGAACUGCAGAAGAGUAUUGUAAUUCAAAGUGCCAUUGACAGGCCAUUUUUCACCACUUCCCAACUUGUUUACCACCCCCACUGAUUACAAUACUUGAUUAAAGUUUUCUUGCUCCUUUC